AGGGACGAAUAGUUUUUGAUCUAUGAUCCAUGGAGCAUAUGAAAGAUUAGAGUUAAGUGCUAAUUAAUUUUAGAUUAGAUCUGAUAUAAUGAGGCUUAAUUAGAUCUAAAAUUCAAGUUAGAUUUAGUACAAAAGUCUUAAAGAGUUUGAGAUUGAUAGUCUUUCGAAAUUAUUUUGAAACAACUUCGAAUUAGAUUCGAAUCAGACCCGUUUUGGAUGAGAUAUGAGAAAUCCUACUUGCACUAGGAUUCUCUUUGUUUAUGGGCUGACC
rnacentral:lncRNA from 1 species